rnacentral:rRNA from 1 species
UACGUAGGGCGCAAGCGUUGUCCGGAAUUAUUGGGCGUAAAGAGCUCGUAGGCGGCUUGUCACGUCGGGUGUGAAACCCGUGGCUUAACUGCGGGCUUGCGGUCGAUACGGGCGGGCUGGAGUUCGGUAGGGGAGACUGGAAUUCCUGGUGUAGCGGUGAAAUGCGCAGAUAUCAGGAGGAACACCGGUGGCGAAGGCGGGUCUCUGGGCCGAUACUGACGCUGAGGAGCGAAAGCGUGGGGAGCGAACAGG